CACGGAGGGUGCAAGCGUUAUCCGGAAUUACUGGGUUUAAAGGGUGCGCAGGCGGCGCAAUAAGUCAGAGGUGAAAGGCUAGAGCUAAACUGUAGAAUUGCCUUUGAUACUGUUGUGCUUGAAUAAGGUUGAGGUUAGCGGAAUGUGACAUGUAGCGGUGAAAUGCAUAGAUAUGUCAUAGAACACCAAUUGCGAAGGCAGCUAGCUGGGCCUUUAUUGACGCUCAGGCACGAAAGCAUGGGGAGCGAACAGG
rnacentral:rRNA from 1 species